GUUGAGUAUUUGGUCGUAGACCCGAAACCAGGUGAUCUACCCUUGGUCAGGUUGAAGUUCAGGUAACACUGAAUGGAGGACCGAACCGACUUACGUUGAAAAGUGAGCGGAUGAACUGAGGGUAGCGGAGAAAUUCCAAUCGAACUUGGAGAUAGCUGGUUCUCUCCGAAAUAGCUUUAGGGCUAGCCUCAAGUGAUGAUUAUUGGAGGUAGAGCACUGUUUGGACGAGGGGCCCCUCUCGGGUUACCGAAUUCAGACAAACUCCGAAUGCCAAUUAAUUUAACUUGGGAGUCAGAACAUGGGUGAUAAGGUCCGUGUUCGAAAGGGAAACAGCCCAGACCACCAGCUAAGGUCCCAAAAUAUAUGUUAAGUGGAAAAGGAUGUGGCGUUGCCCAGACAACUAGGAUGUUGGCUUAGAAGCAGCCAUCAUUUAAAGAGUGCGUAAUAGCUCACUAGUCGAGUGACACUGCGCCGAAAAUGUACCGGGGCUAAACAUAUUACCGAAGCUGUGGAUUGUCCUUUGGACAAUGGUAGGAGAGCGUUCUAAGGGCGUCGAAGCAUGAUCGCAAGGACAUGUGGAGCGCUUAGAAGUGAGAAUGCCGGUGUGAGUAGCGAAAGACGGGUGAGAAUCCCGUCCACCGAUUGACUAAGGUUUCCAGAGGAAGGCUCGUCCGCUCUGGGUUAGUCGGGUCCUAAGCUGAGGCCGACAGGCGUAGGCGAUGGAUAACAGGUUGAUAUUCCUGUACCACCUAGUAUCGUUUUAAUCGAUGGGGGGACGCAGUAGGAUAGGCGAAGCGUGCUGUUGGAGUGCACGUCCAAGCAGUAAGGCUGAGUGUUAGGCAAAUCCGGCACUCAUAAGGCUGAGCUGUGAUGGGGAGAGGAAAUUGUUUCCUCGAGUCGUUGAUUUCACACUGCCGAGAAAAGCCUCUAGAUAGAUAACAGGUGCCCGUACCGCAAACCGACACAGGUAGUCAAGAUGAGAAUUCUAAGGUGAGCGAGCGAACUCUCGUUAAGGAACUCGGCAAAAUGACCCCGUAACUUCGGGAGAAGGGGUGCUCUUUAGGGUUCACGCCCAGAAGAGCCGCAGUGAAUAGGCCCAAGCGACUGUUUAUCAAAAACACAGGUCUCUGCUAAACCGUAAGGUGAUGUAUAGGGGCUGACGCCUGCCCGGUGCUGGAAGGUUAAGAGGAGUGGUUAGCUUCUGCGAAGCUACGAAUCGAAGCCCCAGUAAACGGCGGCCGUAACUAUAACGGUCCUAAGGUAGCGAAAUUCCUUGUCGGGUAAGUUCCGACCCGCACGAAAGGCGUAACGAUUUGGGCACUGUCUCAACGAGAGACUCGGUGAAAUCAUAGUACCUGUGAAGAUGCAGGUUACCCGCGACAGGACGGAAAGACCCCGUGGAGCUUUACUGUAGCCUGAUAUUGAAAUUCGGCACAGCUUGUACAGGAUAGGUAGGAGCCUUUGAAACGUGAGCGCUAGCUUACGUGGAGGCGUUGGUGGGAUACUACCCUAGCUGUGUUGGCUUUCUAACCCGCACCACUUAUCGUGGUGGGAGACAGUGUCAGGCGGGCAGUUUGACUGGGGCGGUCGCCUCCUAAAAGGUAACGGAGGCGCUCAAAGGUUCCCUCAGAAUGGUUGGAAAUCAUUCAUAGAGUGUAAAGGCAUAAGGGAGCUUGACUGCGAGACCUACAAGUCGAGCAGGGUCGAAAGACGGACUUAGUGAUCCGGUGGUUCCGCAUGGAAGGGCCAUCGCUCAACGGAUAAAAGCUACCCCGGGGAUAACAGGCUUAUCUCCCCCAAGAGUUCACAUCGACGGGGAGGUUUGGCACCUCGAUGUCGGCUCAUCGCAUCCUGGGGCUGUAGUCGGUCCCAAGGGUUGGGCUGUUCGCCCAUUAAAGCGGUACGCGAGCUGGGUUCAGAACGUCGUGAGACAGUUCGGUCCCUAUCCGUCGUGGGCGUAGGAAAUUUGAGAGGAGCUGUCCUUAGUACGAGAGGACCGGGAUGGACAUACCUCUGGUGUACCAGUUGUCGUGCCAACGGCAUAGCUGGGUAGCUAUGUAUGGACGGGAUAAGUGCUGAAAGCAUCUAAGCAUGAAGCCCCCCUCAAGAUGAGAUUUCCCAACUUCGGUUAUAAGAUCCCUCGAAGAUGACGAGGUUAAUAGGUUCGAGGUGGAAGCGUGGUGACACGUGGAGCUGACGAAUACUAAUCGAUCGAAGACUUAAUCAAUUU
rnacentral:rRNA from 1 species